UACGUAGGCAGCAAGCGUUGUUCGGAUUCAUUGGGCGUAAAGGGUGCGUAGGCGGCGCGGUAAGUCGGGUGUGAAAUCUCGGGGCUUAACUCCGAAACUGCAUUCGAUACUGCCGUGCUUGAGGACUGGAGAGGAGACUGGAAUUUACGGUGUAGCGGUGAAAUGCGUAGAUAUCGUAAGGAAGACCAGUGGCGGAGGCGGGUCUCUGGACAGUUCCUGACGCUGAGGCACGAAGGUCAGGGGAGCAAACGGG
rnacentral:rRNA from 1 species